rnacentral:rRNA from 1 species
UACGUAGGGUGCAAGCGUUGUCCGGAAUUAUUGGGCGUAAAGAGCUCGUAGGCGGUCUGUCGCGUCGGCUGUGAAAUCCCGAGGCUCAACCUCGGGUCUGCAGUCGAUACGGGCAAACUAGAGUAUUGCAGGGGAGACUGGAAUUCCUGGUGUAGCGGUGAAAUGCGCAGAUAUCGGGAGGAACACCAGUGGCGAAGGCGGCACUCUGGGCCGGUACUGACGCUGAGGAGCGAAAGCGUGGGGAGCGAACAGG